GUAGGUGGCAAGCGUUGUCCGGAAUUAUUGGGCGUAAAGCGCGCGCAGGCGGUUCUUUAAGUCUGAUGUGAAAGCCCACGGGCUCAACCGUGGAGGGUCAUUGGAAACUGGAGAACUUGAGUACAGAAGAGGAAAGCGGAAUUCCACGUGUAGCGGUGAAAUGUGUAGAGAUGUGGAGGAACACCAGUGGCGAAGGCGGCUUUCUGGUCUGUAACUGACGCUGAGGCGCGAAAGCGUGGGGAGCAAACAGGAUUAGAUACCCUGGUAGUCCACGCCGUAAACGAUGAGUGCUAAGUGUUAGGGGGUUUCCGCCCCUUAGUGCUGCAGCUAACGCAUUAAGCACUCCGCCUGGGGAGUACGGCCGCAAAGGCUG
rnacentral:rRNA from 1 species